AAAGGCCCUCCGCGGCCGUGGUGGAACGCUUGCCUCGUUGCCACGGCAAUGAAGCAAGCAUUCCGCCAGGCCACUCACGCUGCCCAC
rfam:Myotis brandtii contig232295, whole genome shotgun sequence.